CCACAAAGCAAUGCUUCAUCUGAGCUCUCCAGCAUCCUGCACAACAGGGCUGCUAGCUGAAAAGGUGAUCCAUUAUUCAUUUGGGUAGCAUCUUGCUCAAAGACAUGCAAGACAGAUACAUUUGGCAUGACCCUGGAAUUUUUCACAGCAGUUUUGUUUUUAUCCAGAUGCCUGGCAGCCAAAGAGACAAGCAUGGAUCAGCACAUGCUGUUGCCUUGUAUGACUGAAUGGGUCCUGAAGCUGGGAGUUCCUUGCUUCCCCUAGAAAGAGAUGGAAGGCAGUUUCAUCACGCUGAAUUUCUUGACUUGAAGCAGCCAAUGAAGCCCCCCACAGGUGUGAAAGCCCCUGGCAAAGAGCUCUGUGCCAGACCGCCAGGAGCAGUGAAGUUAUCCACUGGACACACAGGCUGCAAGUGU
rnacentral:lncRNA from 1 species